GCCCGGAUGGUGGAAUCGGUAGACACGCAGGACUUAAAAUCCUGUGGCCAGUGAUGGUCGUGCGGGUUCGACCCCCGCUCCGGGUACCA
rnacentral:tRNA from 1 species